GAAGUGCGUAAGACAAUUGCAUCUAAGGAAGAGAAGAUCAAGGAACUGGAAUCAGAGCGCCAGAAGCUGCGUGAGACAAUUGCAUCUCAGAAGAAGGGUUGGU